rfam:Triticum aestivum genome assembly, contig: Triticum_aestivum_CS42_TGACv1_scaffold_332180_4BS
UGUGUACUCCCUUCGUUCCAAAAUACUUGACUUCCAUUUGUCCAAAAAUGGAUGUACCUAUAUACUAAAACAUGUCUAGAUACAUAUAUAUUUUGACAAAUAGAAGGCAUGUAUUGUGCAACGGAGGGAGUAGAAU